CCAACCCUGACUCUCUCUUUUCACAACUCCACAGCCCGGCCCCCGACUCACUCCACAGCUAUGCCUACUUUGAAGCCCUAAACUCUAAAUCCACCACCUCCGAAGCCCCGACUUUCUGGUACCAAUCCCUGCCUCCGAAGCCCUAAAUCUGAGAUUCGUCUUCGAGUCUGGUUAGUUCUCGUCCUCUCGAAUCUGGUUUUGAUUAACUGAAGGUUUUCGGGUUCUUCACUUUUGAUUUGGGAUUCUUCACAAAUCACAUUAUCCAAGGCGACCUCUCUUUAUAUGAGCAGAAGAACCCGAAGCUCAAGCUCCUUUGACCUCAUGAACGGUUUAAGAGAUCGAGUCGGUGCCUAGCACAGAUGAAGAAUCCCAUCGCAGCUGUCCAGUUCCAAAGCUGAUUCUCUCCUGAAAGAUUCUAUCCCUUUCCCCGAAAGGGCCAUGUCAUUGGCAUUUGAUAUCCUCAAUGACCUUGUGGAGGGUAGUGAAGAAUUGCCGCUAUGACUUUGCUUCAGUCAUCUUAGGAGACAAUGCUCUCAGGCGGAAUUUCAACUCAACUUUUCAGCUCAAAGAUGGUUCUGGUGCACUUGUAAGUUUUGUUAAAUCGCCUACUUGCUAGAAGGUUUGGUAAUUCAUAUGGUAUUGCUGGUAGAAGUGAGAACAGGAGCAUGGGUAGAAGCUUGGGAGCUUUGGAAAGAUUAUGAAGUCUCUGCUGCGGAAGAACAGUUAAGAGCACCAGAUGGUUUGGCAUUUUCAUAUGUGGAAUGAGGGGGCUAAAUUUGUCGUCAAUACAUAUAUCCAGGAGAUAUUAUAAUUAUUUUUUGUGUCUUAAUGU